AGAUUGAACGCUGGCGGCAUGCCUUACACAUGCAAGUCGAACGGCAGCACGGGAGCAAUCCUGGUGGCGAGUGGCGAACGGGUGAGUAAUACAUCGGAACGUGCCCAAUCGUGGGGGAUAACGCAGCGAAAGCUGUGCUAAUACCGCAUAAGAUCUACGGAUGAAAGCAGGGGAUCGCAAGACCUUGCGCGAAUGGAGCGGCCGAUGGCAGAUUAGGUAGUUGGUGAGGUAAGGCUCACCAAGCCUUCGAUCUGUAGCUGGUCUGAGAGGACGACCAGCCACACUGGGACUGAGACACGGCCCAGACUCUACGGGAGCAGCAGUGGGAAUUUUGACAAGUGGGCGGAAGCCUGAUCGACGCCAUGCCGCGUGCAGGAUAGGAACGG
rnacentral:rRNA from 1 species